rnacentral:lncRNA from 12 species
UUCUUGAAAAAUGUUCAUCUCCAACCUUCUCUUGGGAGACUAGGAAGCACCAGAAUGACUUUGACAAACUUGAAUACCAGAUUUUCUUAUGACUCAGGAAGAAGGUUAUGAUGUUUAUUUAGAAGGGACUUCUUAUUUAUAGCAUUUUGUCAAGUGGGGUGCUGGAGCCAGCUCACACUGGCCCAUAAGAUCUAAUUCUUAAAAAUUCAGGAGUUGUGUGAGUUGAUUGAUGACAGGCUGGUAGCUUGACAUCGGCCACGAUGGAAGUAUUUACACCAUGGAAAUCAGCAAAUGCUACAAACCAGGGCUUUUGCCAGUGCACCAUUGAAUUUAUCCCUUCUUUUUAAAUACUUAGAAGCAAUGAACACUAUGCGUGAAAUGCCUGCCAUGUCCUUUUUAAGCUAGCAGACCCACCAAAAUAUUAUAUAUCUGUGUGUGUAUAUAUAUGUGCAUAUAUAUAUAUCGUGUGUGUGUGUGUAUAUAUAUAUUUUUUUCUAUUUGAGGAAAGAAAACAAAGAAGGAACAUUAUCCAUGAGGAUAAAAGGAGUCCAAAGAAGAGAGAGAAAGCAACGGGCACAUAUGGCAGAAACUUCACGAACAUGUCAGACUUGGAGAUCUUCCAAGCCUGUACUUGUACUUGUAUCAAGUGAGAUCAUCAGAAAGUUCUGUACCAUGUGAAGUUAUCGUUCUUACCUCUCUGGAGUCAGCGUUUGAAUUUUUUUCUGUACUACGACGUCCAACGGUGGUCUGACAAAAUCCACAGGACCU